UAAUAAUUAACUUUUAUACUAAAUAUAAUUUCCUGUAUCAAGCCAUUAUGAAAUGACAGUCUUUUUCUUCCUUCCUUCCAGGUUUGAUAAUAGAACUUCAGUCAGAGGCAGCUUUAAACAUCUACUCACAUAAGUAUUCAAUUAAAUGGAUGCUGUGACACAAGUUACAUGGUACUAUAAGACAACUAGAUUUUAUGUAGGUCAGAAUUGAUAAGAAUCUUGGAUUACCAAAUCAAUAUCUGUUGUAGAUUUUACCUUCUAGGAUCAGUAAUGGAAUACAUUGGCUUCCCAGAGUUUCCAAUGAAGGUUGUAACCAGCUGUUCUGGUUAAUUAUGUCCUUUUUAUGUCUAAGAGAGAUAGGAUGCUAAAGCUUUAACCUCAAAUUAAUUUUUGCACCUUUCCAAUCACACCAGGACAAAAGGUUGAAUUUUAUGCAAAUUUAGUGCAUCGGUAUACUAGAUCAAACAUAUUUUCAUAUCGUUUGAAAUGCAGAUUUGCCGGACUUUUACUUUACAGCUCUCUUUUUAUAUGAGGCUUUUAACUGCACACUCUCCUUGGUUCAUUUCUCAUAUGUGCUUUUGGGUCAAUUACAACCCUGCCUCACUGCUUGCCUUGUUCUCUGGCAGCAAGAUAAACACUGAACAGAGCCUUUUAUCUUUGCAGGGCCUCUCCAGAUACAGCACUAGAAUGACUUUUCUCUCUUCAAUGUAUUAUUUAUGGGAUUUUAAGUUAUUCUUUCUUCGGUGUGAAACCAAAACUUUCUUGUGCACUGCAGCAGAUGCGGCAGUAUAGAUGCCUGAGAUCCCGUCUCAAAAACUCCCUGCCCAUACAUUUUCACCUCAUUGUCUGUCCCAGGGAACCUAGCCGGCAACACUUCAUCUCACCCAGAAGAGAUCCAGACUCCUUCCUUGAGUGGCCUGGGCCUGCUUCCUCCUCCCUCUCUUCUCUCCAUGAACUUCAUUACAGCAACUCGGGUUUUUCUGCUGUUCCUCAAAUAUUCCAAGUUUGAUCCUGCCUCAAGGUUUUGCACUUCCCUCUGCCUGGAACAGAAUCCUUGCCCAGAACUCUGCAGGACUUGCCUCCUUAUCUCCAUUCCAACACAACCCCUGAAGAAAGGCCUUCUCUUAUGAUUCUUUCGUUUUUUUUCAUAUCACAUGUUGCUUUUAAUGGCAUUAAAUUCACUGGGAAAAUAGUGAGUUGGGAAGCAACUCACUUUUACAGAUUAUGCUUCAGUUUCAACCGCAAGUUGGCUAUGGAUACAAGAGUUCUGCAAAACUAAAGUAUUCUCUGAGAAUCAAUUGGCUCUAUGGAAUUAACGAAAAAGAAUAUUGCUCAUUUUAUUACUAAUUAUAGAUGAGGUCCUGCAAUGCUUCAUAUCAGUAAAAUUGAUGAUGAGUACAUGUAUACGUAUACGUAUACGUAUAUGUAUAUGUAUAUGUAUAUGUAUAUGUACUCCUCCCCAGCCAGCCGCUUAACAUGGACCAUCAGCCUGACCUUUAGGGUAAGUGGUUCCUGGCUUUCCUUUAUAAUUUAGUCACUUUUCAAUUUUCCUCUUACCUAGAUGUGACCCAGGCACCUCAGAGCCUGGAGAAGUCUCUGGCACAUAGUAGAUCUUUAAAAGAUGCUGCUGGAGUGGAUAAACUCCUGAGGAUUGCUAAUUUUACAGAGCAACCAGCAGUGACAAUACAAUUCUGAAUCUUUCAAUAAAAUGGCAGAAAAAGCCAGGGAACAUUAUGUUUUCUUGUUUUUUAAUCUCUGUAAACCUCCUUAAAUCUUUUUAGAGUCAACACAGUAUAAUUUUUUUUAAAACAACAACAACGAUAAUAAGAACUACCAUCGACUGUGUGCUUGGGAAAUGCCUAAUAAAUAGCAUUUUUCGUGUAGAAUCUCAUAAGUACAAUCUCUAAGAGUAGGUGAUACAAUAAAAAACGUAAAACACUUUUGAUAUGUACAAAAGUUUGUUUUAUCUUUUAGUAAUUCAAUUAUAAUUAAAACUAUUAUAUUUAAA
rnacentral:lncRNA from 10 species